UACGAUCGCGUAGCUAUAAGCUUUGACCAAUCACGGUCAUCAUCGGAGAAAUUACGCGAAAACAUAGUUCUUAAGUGUCAAGUGCUGUUACAUCUUCUUUUUUGCAUUAUAUUUAUAUUAUAUUAAAACACUUAUUAUAUUAAAACACAUGCUCUUGAUAAUUUCAAUCGAAAUGUAGUAAGAUACAUAACCUCAAAAUCUGUACUGAGUUAGUGUGACGUGCAUUCAUAAAAUUUCAAAUAUCAAGUUUAAAUGCGGGAAGACAUAUGAUUGAUUUUUAAAACGUAAACCGUAUAAAUUUCAAGCCUUACGAAAAUUUUCAGAGCUUCGUCUUAUAUUGAAAAAUAUAAAAGGGAAUAGUCGACUCUGAUUGCGUUGAAGCUGGAGUGUCAAUUUAUUUGGCGGUAAUGAUGGAAUAUCUAGAUGCUGAAGUUUUAUACGUACCUCCUAUGUGCCGUAUCUAAAUGAGUAAAAAGUGGAAAACAGUUUCAAGAAAAACCGCAGCUUGAAAGACAAAUAAUAAAAUUACUACUUACGUAAACGAAUGCAGUAAAUCGUAGUGUAUACACGUAGUAGAUCAACAAUUACAGAUGGAAUAGUCAUGCGAGUACUAUUUAAUUUAUCAAAAUGUUUGGUGCGUGGAACAAAACAAAAGAAGAAGCAUUCAAAUAAUGCGUCUACAAAGCGAUAUUAUUAAAAGCGAUAAUAUAUUGAACAGCUAUUAAUUGCAUUUGGAGAAAAGAGAUGGAAAUUUGAUCCUAUAUGUAAUGUGAUGCAGAAAAAUCACAAAAUAAUGAAUUAAUGGAUUAAUAAAAUAAGUUAUGAGAAUAAUGGAUUAAUGUAUUGACAGAAUAAUGAAUUAACGGAUGCACAGGAUAUUGAAUUAAUGGAUGUACAGAAUAAUGAAUUAACAGAUUCACAAAAUAAUAUAUUAAUAUAUUCAUAGAAUAGUGGAUUAAUAGAUUCACAGAAUAAAGUAUUAACAUAUCUCAAAAUAGAUAUCAAUGUAUUCACAGAAUAAUAUAUUAAUGUACUCAUAGAAUAAAGGAUUAAUGGUUUCACA